rnacentral:rRNA from 1 species
UUGCCCUAGUAACGGCGAGUGAAGCGGCAACAGCUCAAAUUUGAAAUCUGGCCUAGGCCCGAGUUGUAAUUUGUAGAGGAUGCUUUGGGCGCGGUGCCUUCUGAGUCCCCUGGAAUGGGGCGCCCUAGAGGGUGAGAGCCCCGUGUAGUCGGACACCAAGCCUAUGUAAAGCUCCUUCGACGAGUCGAGUAGUUUGGGAAUGCUGCUCAAAAUGGGAGGUAAAUUCCUUCUAAAGCUAAAUACUGGCCAGAGACCGAUAGCGCACAAGUAGAGUGAUCGAAAGAUGAAAAGCACUUUGAAAAGAGGGUUAAACAGCACGUGAAAUUGUUGAAAGGGAAGCGCUCAUGACCAGACUUGUGCCCUGCAGAUCACCCGGCGUUCUCGCCGGGGCACUCUGCCUGGUACAGGCCAGCAUCGGUUCUCCCGGGGGGAUAAAGGCGCCUGGAACGUAGCUCUUCGGAGUGUUAUAGCCUAGCGUGCAAUGCUCCCGGGGGGACCGAGGACCGCGCUCACGCAAGGAUGCUGGCGUAAUGGUCUUCAGCGACCCGUCUUGAAACACGGACCAAGGAGUCAAGCAGUAAGGCGAGUGUUUGGGUGUCAAACCCGCACGCGUAAUGAAAGUGACGUAGGUGAAACUUCGCGCAUCAUCGACCGAUCCUGAUGUUCUCGGAUGGAUUUGAGUAAGAGCCUUACCGCUUGGACCCGAAAAAUGGUGAACUUUGCCUGUAUAGGGUGAAGCCAGAGGAAAAUCUUGUGGAGGUUCCCACGGGUCUGACUGCAAAUCGAUCCCCAAUUUGGCAUGGGGCGAAAGAUUAUCGACCUCUA